CAGCAGCCGCGGGAAUACGUAGGGUGCGAGCGUUAAUCGGAAUUACUGGGCGUAAAGCGUGCGCAGGCGGUUAUAUAAGACAGAUGUGAAAUCCCCGGGCUCAGCCUGGACCUGCAUUUGUGACUGUAUAGCUAGAGUACGGUAGAGGGGGAUGGAAUUCCGCGUGUAGCAGUGAAAUGCGUAGAUAUGCGGAGGAACACCGAUGGCGAAGGCAAUCCCCUGGACCUGUACUGACGCUCAUGCACGAAAGCGCGGGGAGCAAACAGGAUUAGAUACCCGCGUAGUCCCUGUCUCUUAUACA
rnacentral:rRNA from 1 species